AACAUAAGUGGCACACAAUAUCACUUUGAAAUGGCAUGCUAUAGAUAUGACCGAUACUGUAUGUACAUCUUACACCUAUCUAUGCAAGCCAUGCGAUUACAAAACAUUAGUUUGCUAAUAAAUGCUAGUCUUUGUCUAACAUAUUUCACAACAUCUUUCUGUUAUAAAAAUUAUAUAUUAAUUAUUAUUAUUGCUCAGUAGGAUUCUAGGAUGUAACGUAUGUAUGUAUUCAACUUCGUAAGAUAAAACACGAUAAAUUCCGAAAACACCGAAUAAUAUCGAAAAACUCCGAAGUAUACCGAAAAAACCAAUGAUAAAAUAUUUCGAAAAGUAAAAUGCGAAAAGUUCCGAAAAAUCUUAGGGAAAAAAAUUUUAUAUUCUAACAGCCUGAUUCUCUAUCUCGAAACGAGCGUUCGUCUCGUCCAAACACCCGUUUGUUCGUGUAUUUGUACUACUUAACACGAAUUCGUUACCCUGGCGAUAACUAGUCAAUAACAGCUGAUUGUUAUGUGACGAAAACGUAACACGAAUACGACUUCAAAUAAAGAAAUAAAGUGUCAAAUUCAAACGAAAGAAUUUUUGCUAUCGUGUGAGCCGCUAAAAUGGAUAUCUCAAGCCAAAAAGGCAAGAAAUAAUCGAAAAAACAUUCGUAUUAUUAUAAUUAAUUGUUUAGUAUAUUUUACAGUGCUUCAAAAACUUCCAGUGCUCAGUUCGAUGUGCUGGUAAAAGAGCUGGAGAAAAAAUCCCGACUUGGCAAGAGGCGCCCCAAUGUUUGGUGCGAGUAAGAGCCUGGUAGAAACUACAGUGGAAUGAAUUAGCCAAUAAAUUAAACGCACAUGGACGUCCACAAAGAACAGCUACCGAAUGGAAAAAGAUUUGGGCUGAUCUUAAAAGCCGCACAAAGAAGAAAAUUGCGGAAAAUGCGUCCAACAUGCAUGCCACAGUUGGUGGCCUCUGAAUCCGCAAUUCGUGUUGGUCCGAACGUUCGCUUGCAAGAAAUGCUAUUGCUUGAUACAUUUUUAAAUAACUCUAUUAAAAUAUUGUAUUUUUGAACUUUAAUACACAUAAAGUAAACAAAACAAUUUUGACAGAUCUUUUCGGGCGAAUAACGUAAUAACGUAAGGAUGGACGAAAAUUAUCAUUUGAGAUAGAGACUUCCGAAUUCAGACGAUUUCGUUUGGACACGAAUCGUUGUUCGUCUGGCUGUUCGUUCGAUAUAGAGAAUCAGGCUGUAAAGCUCCGAAAAACUAGCAGUGUCAAAUAAUAUCCGCAUGCGCUGAAAGAUACCGAAAGAUCCCGAAAUAUAAAACAACAAGAAACCCGGGAAGAUUUCGAAAAGUCCAGAAAGAUCCCCAAAAAUCCCUAAACUGCGAAGAAUAUCGAAAAAAUUCGUAAGGUACGGAAAUAUUAAUGAAAACAACUCGAAAGAAAAAACAUGAAGCACCGAAAAUUCCGAAAGAAAUUAAAAGUUAAGAUAAAUUCCGAAACAGCUUAAGGAAGAACAGGAGCAUUCCGAAAACUGCGAAAAAAAAUCCAUGAGAAUUCCGGCCACUUCCAAUAGUUAGCGAAAUCCACAUUACAACCGACGAAAUGAUCCCGAAAAAUAGUAACUAUUAAAAAACCUUAAAAAACUAGCAAUGUCAAAUACCGUCCAAAAAAUCGUAAACCGUUCCGAAAACUAGCAAUGCCAAAAAACACUACAUGAGCAGAAUUUGUAACGCAGUGACAAGAUUUUGCUGCAGAUGGUAACUGCAACUCUGUCUACGCAUUAACAGGCUUUGAACUUCAUCAACAGUCUCUUGGUGAAUGAACACAAUGCCUGUCUGUACACUUUCGAGUCAAAAAUUUGUUUAGCUUACGUAAAGUUGGUAGAAACGUCUUCCCGAUGAACAACAAAGCUGGCACUGCUUGCUGAAUAAAGUGUAGAGUUUGGUCAUUAAACUACUCUACAUCUCUCUCCUGGACCAGUUGCUGAAAUACGACGGAUACAAUGUUUACCGUCGAGAUCGCGAGCGAGAUAAUGGUGGUGGCCUAGCGUUCAUUACGCAUCACACCGCGCAGUAUCGUCUCAUAGAAGCAGGCAUCGACCGCAGGGAUACCAUCCUAUGAUGUCAGGGUAUUACUAUCAGGUCAGGCGUUGUCGAGCUCGAAAUAUUUAACGUUUAUAUACCCCCUGAAAUAGGUGCGCUCUUCAAAGGUGAAAACCAAAUGGUAAUCGGUGACUUUAACGCGUACACCGAUCUUUGGCAUGGAAUGAUCGUAGGGCAACUCUAUUGGCUAAGCCAAUACGCGAUUCGCCAUUCUGCAAAAUGAACGACAACGCACCCACCAGGAUUAUGGGCAUCAGUUCGAUGCAGUUCGCCCGACAUAACAAUCGCAAGCGCUGGUCUGAUAAACCGCAUAACGUGGCGACCUAUGCUGAUCUAAGCAUCAGACCAUCUGCCCAUAGUCAUCUCGAUUGAUAAACCUGCCGCCUUUGCUUUCGCGGAACACCGAACCUAUAUCAACUUCUCUAAAGCUGAUUGGAACGGCUUCGCGUAAGUUACUGAGAGUAGGUCCUCUGUCCUCCCCACACCAACCAAUGUUAACGUAGGUUAGCGUAAGUUCCGCAGUGUUGUCGCUGCUGCUGCAGCCCGCUUCAUUCCUGCCGGAUGAGUUUUCCUGGCGAAGCGGCUGUUCUAGCUGAUAAGCGCGACAACCUUCGUCAGGCCGUUCCCGGAAACCCCCGCAAUAGGGAUCUCAAUACGGAGAUACACCAGCUUAUGAACGUACAUAAGUGGAAGAAGUGGGUAGAGCAUCUGAAGACUUGCAACUUCAACUCUGGUGUGAGCAAGCUUUGGUCAACCGUGAGCUCACUUUCCAACAAGACGAGCGUUACAGAGCCGAAAUCUCUUUCAGCGACCGCGCUUCUUCGGACCCGGAGCAAUGCGAGAGCUACUUUAGCCGAUAGUUUACGCUGCAUCCUCCGGCGGACAAAGUCAAACGCCGAGUUACCAGAUAGCUGCACAAACUGCCAUACCUAGUACGUUAAGACGAAAGCCUCCAAAUCCAUAGGACCCGACGGAACAUGCAUCCUGAUACUGAAAAAAUUGGGUCCUGCAGGAUUAAACUACCUUACCAAGGUCCUCUACACCGGAUAUCUGAAAAAUGGAGAGAAUGGUCCCACUGCUCAAACCCGUGAAACCGGACAACAAGGGAGAGUCUUAUCGUCCGAUACCCUUUCGCCGGUAGCGAAGACACUUGAGGCCUUGCUACUCAACAUGGGUUUCCUAAAAUACACAGCAAAAUAACCGCUCCUUUGAGAGAACAUUCCUAGUAGUGUUAGAUCUGUCGAAGGCGUUUGAUACCGUCAGUCCACGCUACCAGAAGACAUUGAGGCUUCCUCUCUUCCACAGGGACUCAAACGGUGGUCAGUGAAUUAUCUGAGUGGUCGGCAUUCGUCAGUAAUUUUUAGUGACAAAAC